AGCUUUGCGCAGUGGCAGUAUCGUACCCAACGAGGUUUAUCCGAGGCGCGAUUAUUGCUAAUAGAAUUAGAACGGCAAACCCCCUCGGAUGUCACUUCAAACAUUAGGUCAGUUCCUUAAUCUUGAGCUCUGCUACCUGG